AUUGAACGCUGGCGGCAUGCCUUACACAUGCAAGUCGAACGGCAGCACGGGAGCAAUCCUGGUGGCGAGUGGCGAACGGGUGAGUAAUAUAUCGGAACGUGCCCAGUAGUGGGGGAUAACUGCUCGAAAGAGCAGCUAAUACCGCAUACGACCUGAGGGUGAAAGGGGGGGAUCGCAAGACCUCUCGCUAUUGGAGCGGCUGUUAUCAGAUUAGCUAGUUGGUGGGGUCAAGGCCUACCAAGGCAACGAUCUGUAGUUGGUCUGAGAGGACGACCAGCCACACUGGGACUGAGACACGGCCGAGACUCCUACGGGAGGCAGCAGUGGGGAAUUUUGGACAAUGGGCGCAAGCCUGAUCCAGCAAUGCCGCGUGAAGGAAGAAGGCCUUUGGGUUGUAAACUGCUUUUGUCAGGGAAGAAAUCCUCUAGGUUAAUACCCUUGGGGGGAUGACGGUACCAUAAGAAUGAGCACCGGCUAACUACGUGCCAGCAGCCGCCGUAAUAC
rnacentral:rRNA from 1 species